rnacentral:lncRNA from 1 species
CAGUAAGCAUUGACUUUGCAUCUGAAAUCUGUUUUAGUUUUCUCUCUUUAGCUAUUUACCUGCUUCAUUGAAUCUGUGAGGCUGCCAGGGCCAGCUACAGCUGGGGUGGAGGCCUCUCCACCUUCUGAGCGGACGUGACCUAUUCCGAGGAGGCUUCUCUAUCAGCCUCAGACCCGAGUUUUUAGACCAGAACAGAGAAAUCACGAUUAGAAACCAGUCCACAAUACUGAUGUACCCUACAUGCUCCCACAAGACCCUGGAUGAAUAGAAGACAUGUCCAGAGCCCUCAAAAUGCAGUUUGCAGACAUGUUGAGCUCACACCGUGUGCUACCCCGAGGACAUCUCCAGGACCCACCCAAGGGACACACCU